UACGGGGGGGGCAAGCGUUGUUCGGAAUUACUGGGCGUAAAGGGCUCGUAGGCGGCCAACUAAGUCGGAUGUGAAAUCCCCAGGCUCAACUUGGGAACUGCAUCCGAUACUGGAUGGCUUGAAUCCGGGAGAGGGAUGCAGAAUUCCAGGUGUAGCGGUGAAAUGCGUAGAUAUCUGGAGGAACACCGGUGGCGAAGGCGGCAUCCUGGACCAACACUGACACUGAUGAGCGAAAGCCAGGGGAGCAAACGGG
rnacentral:rRNA from 1 species